GAUAUAAUCGAGUUACGAAACAACGCAAAAACACAUAGUCUCCGGAGCACGCGUUGACAGGGUGCUUGCUAGUCACUGCAAACUGCCCGGAGGAAGAGCCGGAUUGCCUGCUUGAGGGUCUCCUAUUCUAUCUCCCCCCCCUCCCUACCUGGUUGUAUUUCACUCCGGACUCUGCCUGUGGGAUGGAUAUCCAUCGCGGUCUCCGUCCGGCACCUGAACGCAGUCACUUUGCAAAAACAAGCGCCACUCUCGUGUGUGGGUGUGGAUCAGCCGGGACUGCCUGUUUUAUUUUUUAAAAACCUAUAAAUCUACAUCCGUAUGUGUCGGGGAAGGUCGAUAGGUCGCAGGGCCGGACAGCUCGGACAAACCUCCAAAUAUGGCUUUGACAGAUCUGGAGGGUCGCAUAUUCUGAAGCCUUGCUGAGAACUUCCUUUGCCAAUGAGGUGAUGAGCUCCAUCAUGGGAUCAGAUGGUGAAGGUCUGGUUCCCAAGGCUUGUGUAGACCGUCCGCAGAUAAGAACAACAACGGGCACAGACCUCGGCUGUUUGCAGAUUUGACAGCAGAAAAUAUUGCUUCUCUUGCUGAUGGAAGUGAACACGGGCAAGGCUUAAUGGAAGACGGCUUCGAUCCUGCCAUGGGAUUCUGUUUGAGGUUGGCCCUUUCAUGGGAUUGGAACUGGCGCUGAAGUGGAAGUGAAGAUGUGCGCAGUAAUUGGAACUACGAUAUGAUACGUUACGGGUUAUUGUGAGGAAGUUGUUUCGAAGGAAUCUUCUCCGUGCAAAGGUCAUGCAUCAGGAUCUCUCCCUCCUGAGGUGAAUUUUACUUUUAUGUCGAGUACAAGCCAAAUGGACUGUCAUGUCUUACUUCCUUUUGAAUAUUCUUUAAAGAUGUGAUUAGUACGGAGGUCACGGGGAGAAGGCAGGAGAAUGGGGUUUGGGGGGGAGAGAUAGAUCAGCCUUGAUUGAAUGGCGGAGUAGACUGGAUGGGCCGAAUGGCCUAAUUCUGAUCUAUAACGUAUGAGUGAGGGUUGUCAGUAAGAGGACAUG